GCUAAAAUGAUCGUGGUAACUGUUUGCCUUGGAAAAUAUCAUCUUUUGAAUGAUUUUUUUUUUUUUUCUACAUCCUCUUUUGCGUUUUUGGCGAGGUUGUUUAUCUGUAGUAAGGGGACCUUGAAACCGUCGUGCCCCAUUUCCUCGGUUGUUUUCCUCCCCGCCUGGUUCUCCAUGUUGUUGAGCUUCGGCGAGGUUCUACACUAGUCCUACGAUCAACAACAUACCUGAUCUACAAUACAGGACAGGACGACAGAGGACCAUAGGACCGAUAGCCGAAAGAACCCCGACCCGGAGCCCAGCCCCAGAACCCCGUCCCGAAGCCGAGCCCCAGAAAACCGUCCCGGAGCCCAGCCCUCCCGCGGACCCUCGGGGACAGUGUGGGACGGAUGACAGUGGUCUGACUGAGUGACUCCUCAGUCCCUGAUGAAGGCUCGUCGGGGGUCGGGGACAGGAUUUGACUUCGAGGGCUCUGUGAUUGUCAGAUGGAAAGUUCUAUUAUCACUCAAGUGCAGAAAGAAGACGUCCAAGUGUCGCCGAAAACAGGCGCGGUGAGCCGCUCUUCUCUCAAGCAGCCAAAGAGCUGUAACAUCUUUAAGGCGCUCUUCUGCUGCCUCAAAGCGCAGGAUGGCCCCAAACUGCCACCCCCUCCACCGCCACCGCCUCCACCCUCCUCCCAGCAUGCCUUGCUGGAGUCGCAGGAAAAUGGGACAGUUGUCAAGGAUGAGGGCAGCCUACUGCCUGAGUUGGAUCCCCAGGACCAGGGAAAGAUCUGCGUGGUCAUAGACCUGGAUGAGACCCUGGUCCACAGCUCAUUCAAGCCCAUUAGCAACGCAGACUUCAUCGUACCAGUGGAGAUAGAAGGGACCACCCACCAGGUCUACGUCCUGAAGCGGCCCUACGUGGAUGAGUUCUUGCAGAGGAUGGGGGAGCUGUUUGAGUGUGUGCUGUUCACAGCCAGCCUUGCUAAGUAUGCGGACCCAGUGACUGACCUGCUGGAUCAGGGCAGUGUGUUCCGGGCCCGUCUGUUCCGGGAGUCCUGCGUCUUCCACCAGGGCUGCUAUGUGAAGGACCUGAGCCGGCUCGGCCGGGACCUGAGGAAGACCCUCAUCCUGGACAACUCCCCGGCCUCCUACAUCUUCCACCCGGAGAACGCUGUGAGGCCCCUGCCGUCCACGCACACACUGCAGACCUAACGAGGGCCACACUUUACUGCUCCGACUACAUGAGGACCAGGCGUUGAUUCAGACUUAUUGUAAAAAUAAGUGAAUAGAAUUGCUGUGCCGGUGCUGUCGUGGUUCGACGAUGUGGACGACGUUGAGCUCCUCAACCUUCUUCCCGUGUUUGAGGACCUGAGUCAAGCGGACAACGUUUACACCCGUCUAGACCAGCUCCGAGGGCCGUAGAUCUGCUGUGGUCUGCCCACGUUACAGCCCCCUGGUACCAAUGGGGAUCUGGUGCUUUCCGAGCCUCUUGUUAAUCUUUUAAAACAUUGCACCAAACAUGGACAUGUAUCUUGAGUCUUUCUGCACAUGGGGCCUAGCAUGUGUUAGCCACUAUUUGAAAGCAGAGAGAUUUGGAAACGGCCACCAAAGUAGUUUGAAAACAAUCGCUCCAGUGAUUGUAUCUAAGUAGUUAUUUUGCCGUCCCUGACUUUACCCUGGGAUGUUUUUGUAUCGUUGUGCCUUUUUUAAGGAACAAAAAAAAUACAUUGGCUCACUUUUUAUUUGAACAGCUUUUGUUAUUUUUUUCUAGUUUUUUUUAUAUAUAAAUCUAUUUUUGAACAGUAAAUGUGGUUUAUCUAUGCAACCCAUUACAUUGACAAUACCUCUACUGUAGACAGCUGGUAAUGACAUACUGCCCGUGUAAAUGGAGAGGUUGUGAUUUAGAUGAGUGAAUCAGCAAUGGAACACGAAACUGUACUCUACCUUAUUUUCUACAGAACUAUAGGACACGUGAUAAAGUUGAUUAUUUAUCAUACCAGUUCCAAUAACGGUGCAGUGUUGGAACAUAGGGACAGUUGAUGGGAUAUUUUGGAAUGACGCUAUGGCCAUUUAAAAGCAGACACACUGGAAUUCGCCGGUGGCUCCUGACUUAAUAGAAUUAAAGCCACAUUUGUUAAACAAGGUAAAGAAUGAUUUGUCCUUAUGUUUGUCUCUGAUGAUUUGAACAAUAUUGCACUUGUUUUAUAUUCAGUGCUAAAGUGACGGGUGUGCCUGGUGCUGUUAGCGUAGAGCAGGCGGAGCGCACUGUGGAGAUCAAGUGACAGGCUGUGCUACUCGCAGUGCGACACUUGAACAUAUCAUAUCUGAUGAACGUUUUUCUGUAUUUAUUGGCCAAUCGUCGUAUUGUCCAGUACCUCUUACUGCUGAACGGUUUGGCUUGUGAUCCAUUGCCUACUUUAUUGGUGGUUCAGUAUUAGACCAUCCAGUUGUGUUUGUGCCUUGGAGUCUCUCGUGUCAAAGGAAGGGGCAAGCUGUGGAGGACAGAGUGCAGCCGAACCUGAGUCCACUCUCCUGAAGCCUGUUUAGUUAUGCAGCAAAACCACAUUUUCAACUCCAAAUAAUUGUUCCUCUUUUCUCCACUGAGAAUUGCUUUGCUUAUCGAGAAAUAUCAACAAACAUUCUUUGGCUAUACAAUUUGUACAACUAUUGCCUGCAUGUUAAAAAAAAAUAGUAACCAUUUAUUAUACGCUGCCAAAUAUUUUUGUUUAGACGGUAUUGAUUGAAUUGUCUUAUACUUAGUGUUUAUUGAAAAUAAGAACGUUUGUACUAUCAGACCCAAUUCAAGCUAAUUCUUCAUGACACAGUGUACAAAUAAAAGAUGAUUAUAUUUUA